rnacentral:rRNA from 1 species
UGAACCUGCGGAGGGAUCAUUACAGAGUUAUCCAACUCCCAAACCCAUGUGAACAUAUCUCUUUGUUGCCUCGGCGCAAGCUACCCGGGACCUCGCGCCCCGGGCGGCCCGCCGGCGGACAAACCAAACUCUGUUAUCUGCGUUGAUUAUCUGAGUGUCUUAUUUAAUAAGUCAAAACUUUCAACAACGGAUCUCUUGGUUCUGGCAUCGAUGAAGAACGCAGCGAAAUGCGAUAAGUAAUGUGAAUUGCAGAAUUCAGUGAAUCAUCGAAUCUUUGAACGCACAUUGCGCCCAUUAGUAUUCUAGUGGGCAUGCCUGUUCGAGCGUCAUUUCAACCCCUAAGCACAGCUUAUUGUUGGGCGUCUACGUCUGUAGUGCCUCAAAGACAUUGGCGGAGCGGCAGCAGUCCUCUGAGCGUAGUAAUUCUUUAUCUCGCUUCUGUUAGGCGCUGCCCCCCCGGCCGUAAAACCCCCAAUUUUUUCUGGUUGACCUCGGAUCAGGUAGGAAUACCCGCUGAACUUAAGCAUAUCAAUAAGCGGAGGAA